GCCGAGCUCAGCAACGCGGGCUUGUAACUCAAGUGAGGGCAAUGAGGUGAUGGAACAUGAGUUUGAUUUCAUUGGGCCGGGCUCGCUGUGGCUAUUAACUGGCCCGCCCGUUCCAAGCUGAGAGUUGGGUCAUGUGACCCGGGCGAAGGCCUGGGCUUCGUGGCCCCUAAAGCGGAGGGUAUUGCGUGAGGCUGGUUUCACAGAGCAGCGAAGACCUCCCGCUCCCAGCAGUGGAAGGAUAACGGGCCGGUGUCACUCGGGUCUACCAUGGCCCAAUGGGUCAGACUCAACUUGGACCAUCACCUUU
rnacentral:SRP_RNA from 1 species